AGAGUUUGAUCAUGGCUCAGGACGAACGCUGGCGGCACGCUUAACACAUGCAAGUCGAACGAGAGAAGAGGAGCUUGCUCUUCUGAUCUAGUGGCGGACGGGUGAGUAACACGUGAGCAAUCUGCCUUUCAGAGGGGGAUACCGAUUGGAAACGAUCGUUAAUACCGCAUAACAUAAUUGAACCGCAUGAUUUGAUUAUCAAAGAUUUAUCGCUGAAAGAUGAGCUCGCGUCUGAUUAGCUAGUUGGUAAGGUAACGGCUUACCAAGGCGACGAUCAGUAGCCGGACUGAGAGGUUGAUCGGCCACAUUGGGACUGAGACACGGCCCAGACUCCUACGGGAGGCAGCAGUGGGGAAUAUUGCACAAUGGAGGAAACUCUGAUGCAGCGAUGCCGCGUGAGGGAAGAAGGUUUUAGGAUUGUAAACCUCUGUCUUCAGGGACGAAAAAAGACGGUACCUGAGGAGGAAGCUCCGGCUAACUACGUGCCAGCAGCCGCGGUAAUACGUAGGGAGCGAGCGUUGUCCGGAAUUACUGGGUGUAAAGGGAGCGUAGGCGGGAUCGCAAGUCAGAUGUGAAAACUAUGGGCUUAACCCAUAAACUGCAUUUGAAACUGUGGUUCUUGAGUGAAGUAGAGGUAAGCGGAAUUCCUAGUGUAGCGGUGAAAUGCGUAGAUAUUAGGAGGAACAUCAGUGGCGAAGGCGGCUUACUGGGCUUUAACUGACGCUGAGGCUCGAAAGCGUGGGGAGCAAACAGGAUUAGAUACCCUGGUAGUCCACGCCGUAAACGAUGAUUACUAGGUGUGGGGGGACUGACCCCUUCCGUGCCGCAGCAAACGCAAUAAGUAAUCCACCUGGGGAGUACGACCGCAAGGUCGAAACUCAAAGGAAUUGACGGGGGCCCGCACAAGCAGUGGAGUAUGUGGAUUAAUUCGAAGCAACGCGAAGAACCUUACCAGGUCUUGACAUCGUAUGCAUAGCUCAGAGAUGAGUGAAAUCUCUUCGGAGACAUAUAGACAGGUGGUGCAUGGUUGUCGUCAGCUCGUGUCGUGAGAUGUUGGGUUAAGUCCCGCAACGAGCGCAACCCUUACUGUUAGUUGCUACGCAAGAGCACUCUAGCAGGACUGCCGUUGACAAAACGGAGGAAGGUGGGGAUGACGUCAAAUCAUCAUGCCCCUUAUGACCUGGGCCUCACACGUACUACAAUGGCUGUCAACAGAGGGAAGCAAAGCCGCGAGGUGGAGCGAACCCCUAAAAGCAGUCUUAGUUCGGAUUGUAGGCUGCAACCCGCCUACAUGAAGUCGGAAUUGCUAGUAAUCGCAGAUCAGCAUGCUGCGGUGAAUACGUUCCCGGGCCUUGUACACACCGCCCGUCACGCCAUGGGAGUCGGUAACACCCGAAGCCUGUAGUCUAACCGCAAGGAGGACGCAGUCGAAGGUGGGAUUGAUGACUGGGGUGAAGUCGUAACAAGGUA
rnacentral:rRNA from 1 species